AUUCUACUCGGUGCGAUGUUAAUGUUUAAGUUUGUAGAUACAUCUGCAGCAGGUAUUGCUCGAUCUCUUGUACGUGCGUCUGCAGCAGGUAUCUUGGGCCAUUUGUAGGCCAUCUUGGCUUCAAAUGGUGCUGUUUUUCUCAAUCUUUCUGGAUGUUGAGCAUCUGCAGAUAUUGUCGGUCCGCCCUCUCAUGAUUUUGUCGCAAUAUAGAAGUGAAUAAAUAGUUGUGUCGGUCAAUGUGCUAAGAAUUGACAUCCUCAAAGUGAUUGUUUCUUUGCUGUUAAGAAUUGAGGAUAGUGGAUUGGCCAUCCGUCAUGGUUGAUAUUUCCCCUCUUUUUUUCUGUACUCUUCGGUUUGCUUUGAUCAGUGUCUAAUUUUUUUUUUUUUUUAAUCUGGUAUGAUGUCUACUGCAUAUAUUUGAGCAUGCUUUUUGGCAUAUUUAAUUUCUAUGUUGUUUCUUUUGGAUUAUGCAGGUGCAUUAUUGGAAUGGAAGGUUUUUCUGAUUAGAAAUGCAAUGCUCCUUCAAUCAUAUCAUAUGCCUAAUUGUUUAAGAAAUGUUGCCCCUCGUGCGUUUUUGUUUAUGAAUUAUGAUAAAUUGGUCCUUACACCAUCCAUCUCAAUAUCUAAUACUUGGCUGACUGUUCCUUGUGAAACUCAUGGGUUUGACUGCACGUAGAGGGUCAUGUGCGUUGUUUUGUUUAAUUUAGUUAUGUUCAUUUGAUAUAAGGAGUGUGUCGUUCCAUGGAAGUUAUCACACGUAGCAACAAAAGUUGUGUUUCCUAGUUGUCCUCUAUAACGUGUUUUGUCUGUUCUUCUUGACACUUCCUGUGUAUAGAGGCCAUACUUAAGUUAUAAGUUCUGACGACAUUUAGGGCUUCACUUUUUCAUGCCCCAUUGCAUGCACUUUGAACUGUGGGUUUAGGAGUGGGAAUUUAUUGCCUGAGAGAAUUGGAUUUUGGUUUCAAUUCUUGCACACAAUCACUUCACUUCUUCUUCCAAAUCAAACACGUGAUUCGUUAGCAUCUGAAAAUGUUUGGGGAAUUCACCUUUGUAGGUGGAGUAUUAUUUGAAUGAUAUAAACUAUGCUACCACCAACCACCUGAUGAGGUUCAUCAGCAAAGAUCCUGAAGGAUAUGUUCCAAUAUCCCUCAUCGCUUCCUUCAAGAAGAUCAAAGUUCUCAUUACUAGCAAUGCCCAGCUUUCUUCUAUAUUGCAGAACUUGUCAAAACGUAUAGUUAGUGAAGAUAGGAGGAAAGUGAAACGGCAGUAUCCUUUGACUGACUCAGACAUGGAGGAGCUGCAAUCACGAGUCGUCAUUGCAGAAAACCUACCAGAGGAUCAUUGCACACCAGAACCUUAUGAAACUUUUCUCAGCAGUUGGGAGUGUGAAGGCAAUUUGUAGCCAUUAGCCUCAAGCUUCCAAUGGUGGAGCUUCUUUAGCACCCAGAUCAGGAAAGGCUGAUGGCAUGCAUUAUACUAACAAGUCAAAAACCCUCUCAAGCAUGGGGGAAGAAGGGACAUGAUGGAGAAGAACCCUGGGAAGAAGAAGAUGCUUCUAUAUCUGAGCAACGACCAGAGAAACAACUUGAAGAGUCUUUUGAGCAAUUUGAUGCUCACUUCCAGGGGAAUAUGGGGAAGGAGAAUGCCACCGAUAAAGAGUUCGGGCAGAGGACAGGGCGAGGCUGAGGCCGAGGCCGGGGAAGAGGACGUAGAAGAGGCCAAUACCAUUAGAAUAAUCGGGGAAAUCAUUUGGGGGCUUCUUCUUUGAACAUCUCACCAGUCUCAUGACUGUUGUGGCGAAGCAGUCUCCGGGACCUUGCAUGCCAGAUGGAACAAGAGGAUUCACGAUGGGUCGUGGGAAGCCAGUCUCAGUUAGUACCACAUGACCACGUCACGUGAUAGAAUUUUCAGUUGCCACUUGGACUCAGGGAUUAGUAGUCACCAUUUUGUGUGUGGUGUUGAUGAUACCCAUGUGAGCUCACACUAGGGUGGGUUAAAAAAGGAUAUGUUCUACUACAAGCUUCUCUCAUAUUUUUGGAGACGAUGGACCAGUCCAGAACUACUUUAUAUUCCCUUUUCUUAGGCUUUUUUCAUGUAGAAAGGAAAAUACAAAAAUAAGAAGAGCGAGAAGUGAAAUAGAGAAAAAAUAAUCUAUGAACGUUCAUAGAAGUAUAAGGGUUUGCGGAAUGGCUUUUUUUGAGA